GAUGAACGCUAGCGGCAGGCUUAACACAUGCAAGUCGAGGGGUAGGUUACUUCGGUAAUUGAGACCGGCGCACGGGUGCGUAACGCGUAUACAAUCUACCUUUUACAGAGGGAUAGCCCAGAGAAAUUUGGAUUAAUACCUCAUAGUAUUUUUGAAUCGCAUGAUUUGAUUAUUAAAGUUCCAACGGUAAAGAUGAGUAUGCGUCCCAUUAGCUAGAUGGUAAGGUAACGGCUUACCAUGGCUACGAUGGGUAGGGGUCCUGAGAGGGAGAUCCCCCCACACUGGUACUGAGACACGGACCAGACUCCUACGGGAGGCAGCAGUGAGGAAUAUUGGACAAUGGGCGCAAGCCUGAUCCAGCCAUGCCGCGUGCAGGAAGAAGGUCCUAUGGAUUGUAAACUGCUUUUANACAAGAAGAAACACUCCCUCGUGAGGGAACUUGACGGUACUGUAUGAAUAAGGACCCGGCUAACUCCGUGCCAGCAGCCGCGGUAAAGUGACU
rnacentral:rRNA from 1 species